AAAAAUUGAAAAGAGCAUCCAAACUCUUGCAUUGUAAAUCAAAAGCCACUUUGUAAAACUUUGAUAAAAGUAUUUUCUUCCUCCUUCAACUAUCUUGUUCAAUUAAAUUACUCAUAUCAUUUCUAUCCCACAUAAAAUCUACUUAAACACUUCUAUCUAAACCCAUUUAUUUUUUUCUGCUCAAAAUAAAAAACCUUUAGGAAUGUGACGGUGUAAAAGGAAGGAUUCUUAUAAUGCACAAGAUAGACAUGAAGAUUCAACCAAAUCAGCUGUAAUUAGCUUCUUACAUAACCUUUUUUUUUUUUUUUUUUCCAGAAUCUUGUACAAUUUCCUGAUGUAUAUACUUUUCAUGUUUUAUUGCGUCAUAUACAAGGUCUUUGACUUGAAAACUUACAUAAUGUUCUUUGACUUGAAAACUUACAUAAAGUUAGCCUCCAUUUCAAGUAACAUUUUCAAGAGAGUGCACAUCAUGAAUAAAUUCAAAUGGUUGUUAUGAUGUACCUAUUUCUUUUCUGAUGUAAGUAAGCUGGAAAGAUGGUUGUAUUUCUUCAGCUUCAAAAUUAAAUAGUCCUCAUUCUGCUUCCCAACGUUAUCUAAAUAAUCCUUUUUAUCAUAUUCUUUAACUAAAAGAUUAUUUAUUUCUUUACUUUUUCUCAAACUCAUUUUCUGCACACGUUCUUCAAUAAAUUACUUCUCAACAAAAAGGUAUUUUCUUCUCUGUGGAAAGAAGACUUCUUUCCACAAGCUCAAUGUGUCUUGUAUACACAUCCACAAAUUUGUGGACCCAUAACUUAUUACUUACUUUUUACUCAGCAUUCUUUGGAACCUGCAUCUGAAAUUCUAACUUAAACACUCCGAAACGAGGUUUUAUGUGUUCAUAAAAAAAUUAGUCUUCAAAACACCGUCUUUGAUGCAGAUCAGAUUCCUUUUUUUUUUAAUGAAUGGAUGGUAUGUUCAUAAUUUUCAUAAAAAGAGUGGCGACGAGACAUGUACCUAGAUUUUUGUUGGCUCCAAUACCGUGCCGUACUACAUCAUCUAAAAGCUUAAGCUAGUGAAUGGGGACAAAUUUAUUCAUUUCAAUUUAAUAUUAAUGGUCUUUAGUGUAUUUAUUCUUUUGAGAGCAUAUGAUGCAGAUUCCAGAAAGUGUGGUUGAGCUACGCUAAAAUUAACUAUGUGCUGCUUAUUGUUGGGGCACAUCCAACGAUUUACCUCCCUCACAAAGUUCUGGGAACGGAACGGUGGGGACCCUCAAGGUUGGAGUUCAACCUUUUUUUUUUUUAACUAUGUGCUGCUUAUUUUCCAACGUGUUGAGCAGUCAAGAAAAUCCUUGCUGCAAUGCAAACAGGGUCUAUAAAUAAGAAAAUCCAUACAAGGCCUCGUUCAAAUUUGAAAAAGUUCGGUGUUUCAUACCGUGGAAAGGGAACGUUGACCAAUUUGAUUGGGGAUGCAUACUUCAAAUGGAAUCUAAUUUCUCGAAUUGGAAUCGAAUUUAUCACUUUUAUAAUUAUUUAUUUAUUUAUUAUUAUUAUUAUUAUUAUUAUUAUUAUUAUUAUUUUUUUUUUUUUUUUUUUUACAAUUUAUUCACCCUGAUUCUACUAUAUAUUUUUCCUGUGAUUGAGAUUUCAACUAGGAAUUUUGAUGUAUAUUCGAAACGGUCUCAUUCUCAAUUGAAAGAAUCUAUUGAGGAACAUGGCCCUUAGCCUUGGUAAUAUCAAUAACAUUAAUUGUAUUAUAAAGGAUGGGUAAGACAGCAUAAAUCAAUAGAUUCUUUCAAUUGAGGAUGAGACUAUUCCGAAAUUUUUUAACCAUCUCCUUCAUCAGAUCAAGGUGGAUUUCAUUGAACAGUUCAAUGAGAAGCUUGUUGUCAAACAAAGGAACAAGAACACCAAAUUUUUUAUGUAAGUUGUUUUUUUUCUUAUAUUUGUAUAUUACUUUGUAGCAUGUUUAGCAUGAAGAUUAGUUAGCAAUGAACUGUAUGAAGAAAGAAAGUGGAGUUAACAAACUUAUUCGGUUAUUUCCCAUUUUGCGCACCAAACAUGCGCUUGAUAUUUACAUCCUAUAAAAUCUAUACAAGUCCGCAACUUGGAGUUAAAGUUAGUAGAAGUGAAUUCCUGUUAAAAUAUUUUGUACAUGUACAUAAGGCAUUCCUUUUUCAUUUGCUAUUUUCAUCCGUCCUCCCACAUUUUUCAACACUAAAAUCAUAAGACUUAAUCAAUUCCAGCACGAGUAAAAAAAAUAUUACACACGGCAUCAUCUUCAUCAACUUUUCCCCUACGAUAAUAUUCAGGUUUCACUUCUUUUUGUGCUCAUAUUUUUGUUUAGGUUUAGCAAUUAGAUAAGCUUAGCUGCUUUUAUUUCUUUCUCGUCCAUUUUUUUAGUCUAAGUAUAAAUAUGUUUCCGUGUAUGCUAUGGGGUUGUGAGACAUGAAUAUUGAAUCAAUUGGAAACAUGCACCAAACAUCUUCACAUCUUGUAAAAUCCAAUAUCUUUUCCUUAUACAAUUUCACAAUUCUUCUGUGUCUUUUGAAUCUCUACAAAAACCGCUCUAUAUAUUUCUCUCCUUGGUUCAGCCAAGUUGAAUGGUGAAUUUUUAUUUAUUUAUUUAUUUAUUUUGAAUUUGGCCUGAAAAUUUUAUUCGAGAGUGCACAGAUGUAUGAGACUAUGGAUGUUGGUUAAGUGUGUAUUUAUAUGAGAAAUAGUGAGAGAGAUUGAGAAAUAGUAGUGAUAUGCACCAAACAUGCACUAAACUUGCACUUAUGUUCACAUCAUGUGGAAUCUAUUACCUUUUUUGUACACAGGUACACAAUUCCAAGUAAAUAGAAGUUAUUACAAAUGAGAAUUACCGUCAAAUGUAACACUCCAAAUUUUCAUAAAUUUUGGAGUGCUACCAAAAAAUGCACUUUUCUUUGUGUUAAAGGCAGAACGAUAAAAUAAAAUUCUUUAUAAAAAAAACUGGAACAUUCAUAAAUCUAAAUGAAAUCAUUGAAAUCGUAUCUUUGAAAAAAUAAAAAAAUAAAAAAAAUAAACAUGUAAGUAAUUAAAUAACAUGUUUUUGAACAAAUUAAACUAACUAACAAAUUGAAAGAUAGAAAACUUAAUGCUUUUAUUUAUUAUUAUUUUUUUUGAAUUCUCUUUGCACUCCGUAUCACUAUCCCCCCACCAUUUCAACUGACCUUUAAUUUUAUUUUUUGUAAGAGGGAGUAUUUAAAAAUAUCCAGUAAGAUACGUGCAAUUUCUGUGGACAAUUAUAUAACAAUAAAAUUCACAUUUCAUGCCACAUUUCUCUUAUGGAGUAUAUCGGUAACCAAACAACAUACUUAUCAUUAGUCAUUUAAAUUCCCAGAGGAUUUCACAUUUCGUUAUGAAGAACCCAAUAGAUUUCACAUUUUCGUUAGGUCGAACCCGAAGGUCCAUCGAUAAUUCAAGCAUAAAUUAUUGAAUUUAAAAGUAUACUGAAAUAAACUACUUACACAAAAGUAUCUUACUUUGAUUUUGAAAGGUUGGAAAGAAUAAGAUCUUGCACGUAAAAAUUCUCUUCUUAUUUUUCUAUACCUUUUCCUCUCCUUUCUCUCUAUCAUGGCUCUCUUUAUUUUCCGUGAUGAAAAAAUGUGAAUUCUUGCAGUAUUUAUAGUUGAAAUUCUCAAUUGAGUUUGCAUGCAACUAGAAUUGAAAAAUCAUGUAAUACAAGGAAUUUAAAUAAGAAUUGAUUUCAAAUGGUAGAGUUAGUAGUAUACUCUACUAUUGAUUUUCCUGGUACAAUCAUCCCAUUAAAAGUAGGACACUUGGCCAACUAGUGCUUGGUUUCAAAAAGUGAUUUGAAUUGUACUAUACUAUUGGUUUCAUAUAAAUCACGUGCGAUAGGAAUUACAAGAUGAAAAGAAUUUUACAUAAUUAAUAUUGCAAGCCCCACCAACUUGAUUAACUUGUUAUUCUUUUAAUAUGACUUAUGUUGAUGUAGUCUAAUCCAAAAUAACUUUUUUUUCUCGUGUUGAAGACUUCUAACUAAUUACGAGCUACAAAAAGUAUUCAAUAUCGAUAUCCUUAUUUCCCUCUAUCAAAAUCUAAUUAUUUGCCCAAAAUAAAAUUAGAAUUAAACUAUUUCGAUUUAGUUCCUCUACUUUAAAAAUAUAAAUAUAUAGCAUAUGGAAUAAAAAAAUUUAUUCUAUAAAAUUUUCGGAGCAUUACAAACUUUCCUCCUUAAAAGAAUUUCGUUCUCAAAAUUACCUCAGUUGGUUAACAUGUUUUGGAUACUUAACUUUGACAUACUUAUAAUAGUACAUAACAUGAAGCAAGAAAACUCUUAAUCAUGCUAAAAUAAUGACAUUUCAUUUCAUACCUUAGAUCCAUCGGAGAGUGGUUGAACAGUGAGUGACGCGUGCCAAGAAUUUUUAUUUUUUACUUAAAACUUUAAAAAGUUUACAUUGCCCUUAAAUUCCUGAUGUCUAUGAAAAUACUUUAUUUUUCAUUUCUAUUAAAAUUUUCUAAAAUAGGAUUUUCUCAAAAUAAAAGUUUUCAAAAAGAUAAUUUUUUAAAAUUUGGAAUGAUUUAAAAUAUUUUUUUUUUUGUCUUGUUGAUUUAAAUACUGUGCAACCAAGUCUUCCAGAUGAGGGGGGAUCACAAGUGGAUCUCUUAAAUCACGAGCUCUUCUUAAACAGUUUAGGCAACCUUUCAAUUUUACUAAUACGCAAAUCAAGAAAAUUCGAACAAUAAGUAGGAACUAGAGAUCUCUUAAAACAUAUAUUUCUAAUUGACAAAUUCCUAUCAAAACUCAUUUUGUUAGGAAAAAAAAAAGUCUACACAAGGUGGAACCUGGGCUCUGAUACCCACAGGGACAUCAAGAUUGAAUCAAUUAGCAAAUGGUGCGUUUUAGAAGGAUCAAGACUAGCGGGAUAUGAUGAGGAUUCUUACGAUGCCUGAAAAAUUGAUAAAGUGGAGAAGCUUUCUCCCAAUGGUGAUUUUGAAGACAAUUUAGCUGCCUAUCAUCAUUAUGUCUCUCAAAUCACGCUCGAUGAGAACCAAAGUCAAGAUUUGAUGUAAUAUCAAACAAGAGGUCUGGAGAGAUUUCUGUGAAUGCAGUAGGUAAAAAUGAUGCAGAUGCUGAUGAUGAGGAAAUUGAAAUAAUUCCGAGGAUGGUGAAGUUGUUUCCAUUUGUGUGUCUGCUGCAGAUGAAGGUUAAUCAAAGCAUGAAGAAGAAGACGGAGAGCUUGAUGUUAAAGCCGAAAGUGAAGGCAAGUCUGAGAAGGCAAGCAUGAAGAAGAAGACGGAGAGCUUGAUGCGCACUGAUGCCACAGUUUGAUAUUUUUUAUGCACACAUAUACACAUGGCAUCUCUGUUGAGAGGCAGUGAUGGAAAUGAUAGAAAUCCACCAACUAGAGGUAGAAGAGGUUAUACUUUGUUUUCACAAGCUAUUCCUAUAUUUUCAACGUUUUAAAAUCCUAAAUUCAUACCGAU
rnacentral:lncRNA from 1 species